GAGGAAUAUUGGACAAUGGGCGAGAGCCUGAUCCAGCCAUGCCGCGUGCAGGAAGACUGCCCUAUGGGUUGUAAACUGCUUUUAUACGGGAAGAAACCUCCCCUCGUGAGGGGAGCUGACGGUACCGUAAGAAUAAGGAUCGGCUAACUCCGUGCCAGCAGCCGCGGUAAUACGGAGGAUCCAAGCGUUAUCCGGAAUCAUUGGGUUUAAAGGGUCCGUAGGCGGGCAGCUAAGUCAGUGGUGAAAGUCUGCAGCUCAACUGUAGAAUUGCCAUUGAUACUGGUUGUCUUGAAUUAGUAUGAAGUGGUUAGAAUGAGUAGUGUAGCGGUGAAAUGCAUAGAUAUUACUCAGAAUACCAAUUGCGAAGGCAGAUCACUAAUACUAUAUUGACGCUGAGGGACGAAAGCGUGGGGAGCGAACAGG
rnacentral:rRNA from 1 species